ACCAGCUUUCACGCAUGUACACUGAGUCGCCGUGGUCUGUGAUUGGUCGGCGGUGUUCGGCGAUCGUCGUUACUGCCGUGGUAGGCAGCAGGCUGUCGCCGCAACCGUGCAUACAGAGUAAGUUUUUUUUCCUAGGGGUUUUUUUCGAGGGGUUUUCGUUAAGCGAGUGGGAAAACUUACGGUGAAUACAGUAUAUCGUUUAGCCACUCAUCAGGUGUUAUUCAGACGUUAUUUUUGCGUAAAAACUACUAAACGCGGUAAUAGAUUGUCCCGAGUUGUCGUCUGAAAUUGGUUUUAAAGUUCCUGUCUUUGAUUCCAGAAUUGAAUCUACGUUUCACGUUCCGUUGUUUAGUUCCAGUAUUAUAGCUAAUAGUCCGAUGUGCCGGCUUGCCUAACCAUA